UAAGUACUCCCUCCGUCCCAAAAUUCUUGUCUUAAAUUUGUCUAAAUACGGAUGUAUCAAGUCACGUUUUAGUAUUAGAUACAUCUGUAUCUAGACAAAUCUAAGACAAGAAUUUUGAGACGGAGGGAGUAUUUG
rnacentral:pre_miRNA from 1 species